GCUGUCGUAGCUCAAUUGGUAGAGCAGUCGCCUUGUAAGCGACAGGUUAUCAGUUCAAGUCUGAUCGGCAGCU
rnacentral:tRNA from 2 species